UACGAAGGGUGCAAGCGUUACUCGGAAUUACUGGGCGUAAAGCGUGCGUAGGUGGUUCGUUAAGUCUGAUGUGAAAGCCCUGGGCUCAACCUGGGAAUUGCAUUGGAUACUGGCGGGCUAGAGUGCGGUAGAGGAUGGCGGAAUUCCCGGUGUAGCAGUGAAAUGCGUAGAGAUCGGGAGGAACAUCUGUGGCGAAGGCGGCCAUCUGGACCAGCACUGACACUGAGGCACGAAAGCGUGGGUAGCAAACAGG
rnacentral:rRNA from 1 species